CCCAAGUAAAAUGACCAAAAAACCCAGUAACAAAAUCAACCUCCCUCUCAUUUCACGUUUCUUCUUCUCCCUCUACCCCGUGUCGCCCAAGGCCCCCCAUCCCUGCCCCUCGCCCAUCCUCUCCCCCCACCCCUACCACCCGUCCGCGUCGGCAUCCUCUCUCCCACCCAGCGUCGGUAUCCUCUCCCCCACCUCCAUCCCACCUGGCGUCGACAUCCUCUCCCCCACCCGCAACCCGCAUCACAUCCUCUCCCCCACCCGUACCCCCGUAGGCCAAAUGAGAGGCAUGGCUGAGCAUGGAGGGCUGAGAAAGGUGCGGUGGAGCUGCUGGUGGAGGCUCGAGGUGGCGCCUGGAUCCGUGGGUGUUGGCGUACGGCUCGGUGAACCGGUUCCUAGCCUCAAAACCUCCUCAGGUAUGCCUCACUUGUUCCCACCCAAAGCCCCCUCAGACCCCCCCCUAGCGAAAUCUCCUUCCCUCCUGAAGCCCCCUCGUUCAGGUGCGAUGCAGAAAUCUCCUUCAUCUCCCCCUUCCCUUCAUCCUCAUCGGUUCUUCAUCUCCCCCAUCCUUCAUCCUUAUGAAGUUUGCACCUCAAAGUGACCUGCAAGCCCUCAGACCCGUGCUUCAUCUCCAGAAAUCCAACACACCAUGAUUUGAAAAAAAAAACCCAAUAAUCCGCGGCGAAACAGGGUUACACCGUACAUUUUUGCUUCUCUGCGAUUUUGACGCUGGGCCUCUUUAGAUCGGAUGCAGAUCAAACAAAUUGGAAUGGGACACUUGCACUGGUCAACUACAAAGUAUGCUCAUUUGCAUGAUUGGAUAGUUGCACCGGAAUCAAGCAAUAUGAAAGACAAAGAAACUCAAGACGAAGUUGGAUUGGAUAUUAUUUUAUUGUGAUUUGUGUUGUAAUUAUUUUAUAUUCGAAAAACAAUAAUGUAUGUCGUUCAAUGCUAAGAUAUGGAUAUUAGGCCAGUUGUAAUGUUCAGAAAUGUUGUAAUAUUUGUAAGACAUUUUGGAAUGUAACUUUGAAUGUUACUUACAAAAACAUGUUUAUAAUAUAAUUGUUUACAUUGCACUUUGUUGAUUGUGAUUGUAAUGAUAACAAUACCUGUCCAAAAUUA